rnacentral:rRNA from 1 species
ACUCCUACGGGAGGCAGCAGUAGGGAAUCUUCCACAAUGGGCGCAAGCCUGAUGGAGCAACACCGCGUGAGUGAAGAAGGGUUUCGGCUCGUAAAGCUCUGUUGUUAAAGAAGAACACGUGUGAGAGUAACUGUUCAUACGUUGACGGUAUUUAACCAGAAAGUCACGGCUAACUACGUGCCAGCAGCCGCGGUAAUACGUAGGUGGCAAGCGUUAUCCGGAUUUAUUGGGCGUAAAGAGAGUGCAGGCGGUUUUCUAAGUCUGAUGUGAAAGCCUUCGGCUUAACCGGAGAAGUGCAUCGGAAACUGGAUAACUUGAGUGCAGAAGAGGGUAGUGGAACUCCAUGUGUAGCGGUGGAAUGCGUAGAUAUAUGGAAGAACACCAGUGGCGAAGGCGGCUACCUGGUCUGCAACUGACGCUGAGACUCGAAAGCAUGGGUAGCGAACAGGAUUAGAUACCCCUGGUAGGUCAGUC